GAUGGGAUGACUGAGACGCUAGGUGAUAGAUUGUAAAUUUAUUUAGGAGGGUUACCUCUUCCAUUA
rnacentral:tRNA from 1 species